AUUGAACGCUGGCGGCAUGCUUUACACAUGCAAGUCGAACGGUAACAGGUUAAGCUGACGAGUGGCGAACGGGUGAGUAAUGCAUCGGAACGUGCCCGGUCGUGGGGGAUAACGCAGCGAAAGCUGCGCUAAUACCGCAUACGAUCUGAGGAUGAAAGCGGGGGACCGUAAGGCCUCGCGCGAUCGGAGCGGCCGAUGUCAGAUUAGGUAGUUGGUGGGGUAAAGGCUCACCAAGCCAACGAUCUGUAGCUGGUCUGAGAGGACGACCAGCCAAACUGGGACUGAGACACGGCCCAGACUCCUACGGGAGGCUGCAGUGGGGAAUUUUGGACAAUGGGCGAAAGCCUGAUCCAGCAAUGCCGCGUGCGGGAAGAAGGCCUUCGGGUUGUAAACUGCUUUUGUACGGAGCGAAAAGGUCUCCUCUAAUACAGGGGGCUCAUGACGGUACCGUAAGAAUAAGCACCGGCUAACUACGUGCCAGCCGCCGCGGUAA
rnacentral:rRNA from 1 species